UACGUAGGGUGCAAGCGUUAAUCGGAAUCAUUGGGCGUAAAGCGCGUGUAGGUGGCUUGGCAAGUCGGUUGUGAAAUCCCGGGGCCCAACCCCGGAACUGCAUUCGAAACUGCCUCGCUAGAGUCCCGGAGAGGAAGGCGGAAUUCCCGGUGUAGAGGUGAAAUUCGUAGAUAUCGGGAGGAACACCAGCGGCGAAGGCGGCCUUCUGGACGGUGACUGACACUGAGGCGCGAAAGCGUGGGGAGCAAACAGG
rnacentral:rRNA from 1 species